rnacentral:lncRNA from 1 species
CGAAACAAAAGCAGGGAGCAAGCAUAUAAAUGCCCACAUCAGAUUUAAGCUUCUGGGGGGAAAGCCGCAUAGAUCAUAACGAAGGUCUGCGUAUUCAAACUGUACAACACAACGAGAAACUAAAUCCCCUCCUGUUCACUGAUUAAGAGGUGAUGACUACUCCACUCUACUACCAUUGUCAACUCUCUCCUGACAUGAACUGAAGCCACGUCUCAUGUGCCCGGUCAUCCACUGGCACAUUGAGUGUUUCCCCUCCACGCACUUUUUUAUCUUCCCAGUCAAAUCCUGUCCUGCACUGGUCAAGUCUCUAAACACCUCAACUCAUGCUUCAUACCCUCAUUCAGUCACUGCUGUGAUCCCUUCCCAACACUGUAAGUAGCCCCCUCAUUCCCCUUCCUUACAAUAUUGUACUAUAAAUGUCUUUAUUAAAUGCUUUAGUUUAAAAUAAUUUGUCUUUGAUGAUUUUUUAAACACUCUUUGUCGUCUUUGUGCGUUCUGGGCCUAUAGUGUGCGUCUCCCAUCCUCCUAAAUUUUUCAAGUCACCAGCCUCCGCUAACAUAUAGGAAAGGGUAAAGUGACUAGGCAACAUGAUAUGUAAUAAAUAGUAGCAGCAGCGUAUGUGACAAGUCACAAGAGUUAGUGCAAAAAGCGUCAAUGCAGAUAGUCCAGGUAGCUAUUUGGUUAACUGCUUUAUGUGAGACCCUUUCAUAGAAUAUAUGGCCUAGAAUACUCAGUGGUGUAAAGUACUUAAGUAAAAAUACUUUAAAGUACUACUUAAGUAGUUUUGGGGGGUAGGUGUACUUUACCUUACUAUUUAUAUUUUUUACAACUUUUACUUUUACUUCACUACGUUCAUAAAGAAAAUAAUGUACUUUUUACUCCAUACAUUUGACCUGACACCAAAAGUACUCGUUACAUUUUGAACGCUUAGCAGGACAGAAAAAGUGUCCAAUUCACACACUUAUCAAGAGAACAUGCCUGGUCAUCUCUACAGCCUCUUAUCUGGUAGACUCACUAAACACAAAUGCAUCUUUUGUUAUUGAUGUCUGAGUGUUGGAGUCUGCCCCUGGCUAUCCAUACAUUUUAAAAACAAGAAAAUGGUGCUGUCUGCUUUGCUUAAAUUAAGGAAUUUGAAAUUAUUUAUACUUCUUCUACUUUUAUUUUUGAUACUUAAGUAUAUUUUAGCAAUUACAUGUACUUUUGAUACUUAAGUAUAUUUUAGCAAUUACAUGUACUUUUGAUACUUAAGUAUAUUUACAACCAAAUACUUUUAGGUUUAUACUCAAGUAAUAUUUUACUGGGUGACUUUUACUUUUACUUGAGUAACUUUCUGUCAAGGUAUCUAUACUUUUACUCAAGUAUGACAAUUGAGUACUUUUUCCACCACUGAGAAUACUCUUUCCUAUUUCAAGAAAUGUAACCUAAUAACAUGAGCCCAAACACAUUCUCUAGUCCAAUGUCAUGAGCCCAAACACAAUCUGAAGCCCAAUGUCAUGAGUCCAAACACAUUCUGAAGCCCAAUGUCAUGAGCCCAAACACAAUCUGAAGCCCAAUGUCAUGAGCCCAAACACAUUCUGAAGCCCAAUGUCAUGAGCCCAAACACAUUCUGAAGCCCAAUGUCAUGAGCCCAAACACAAUCUGAAGCCCAAUGUCAUGAGCCCAAACACAUUCUGAAGCCCAAUGUCAUG